rnacentral:rRNA from 1 species
CCUCUACACGGACCAAGGAGUCUAACAUGUGAGCAAGCAAUUGGACAACAAAGUCCAAAUGCGUAACGAAAGUGAACGCGUGUCGAGCGCUAAACUGUAACGGGCGAACGUGCGUUGCAGUGCGUGCGCGGGCUGCGCGUACAGCUAGCUUGCUUAACAAAGCACUGCUGUUGCGUGGACCUUGAGUGCACAUGUUGGGACCCGAAAGAUGGUGAACUAUGCUUGGCUAGGACGAAGCCAGGGGAAACUCUGGUGGAGGUUCGUAGCGAUUCUAACGUGCAAAUUGAUCGUAUGAGCUGAGUAUAGGGGCGAAAGACUAAUCGAACUAUCUGGUAGCUGGUUCCGCCCGAAGUUUCCCGUAGGAUAGCUGGCGCUCGAUAAAGAACCGAGUUGCAUCCGGUAAAGCGAAUGAUCAGAGGUGCUGGGCUUUAAACAAGCUUAACCUAUGCUCAAACUUUAAAUGGGUGCGGUGUCGCGCUGACUUUUAUGCAGCACGGCUUUUCGAAUCAAGAGUGCCUAGUGGGCCACUUUUGGUAAGCAAAACUGGCGAUGCGGGAUGAACCGCUUGUCGAGUUAAGGUGCCUAAGCGAACGCUUACAGUCACGUUUGAAAGGUGUUGUUUGCUCAUGACAGCAGGACGGUGGCCAUGGAAGUCGGCAACCGCUAAGGAGUGUGUAACAACUCACCUGCCGAAGAAACUAGA